rnacentral:rRNA from 1 species
UUGAUCAUGGCUCAGAGUGAACCGCUGGCGUGUAGGCCUAACACAUGCAAGUCGAACGGCAGCACAGGAGAGCUUGCUCUCUGGGUGGCGAGUGGCGGACGGGUGAGGAAUACAUCGGAAUCUACUCUGUCGUGGGGGAUAACGUAGGGAAACUUACGCUAAUACCGCAUACGACCUACGGGUGAAAGCAGGGGAUCUUCGGACCUUGCGCGAUUGAAUGAGCCGAUGUCGGAUUAGCUAGUUGGCGGGGUAAAGGCCCACCAAGGCGACGAUCCGUAGCUGGUCUGAGAGGAUGAUCAGCCACACUGGAACUGAGACACGGUCCAGACUCCUACGNGGAGGCAGCAGUGGCGGAAUAUU